GCUUGUGUACCCGCGUCCUCAUGCCACCGCCAAAAGCUGCCCUUCCUCGCAUUGUCGUCCGACUUCAUCACCGAUCCAGAAAAGCAGAAAAUCGAAACCUCAAGACAACGCCGCCAACCGCUCCCUCCCCGUCCGCUUGAUCCCCCUCGGCGGCAACGCGGAGCCGUAUGGCUCGAUGAGGUGGCCAUGGGUCCCGUGCGCUCUUCCACGAUAGCGGCGCCGCCCCCACCCUGCAGGGCGCGAGGACCAGAUCCAUCCUGUAGCAAACGCGGCGGCGCCCUCAACCCUACCGUCGGCGCCACCAUCUCCACCCAGUCGACAACGACGGCGGAGGCCGGGAUCGCAUUUUUCUCCCACGCGCACGAGCUGAGUCGCGGUUAGGUGCUCAAGGAGUCAGGCGCUAGGCGGCGACGCUCUCCUCUCCACUCGGAUUUGCGGCACGGCGGCGGCUCCCUGUCCUCCCAUGGAUGCCGUCGAUAAGGCCCCUCACCCAUCACGCCAGGUCUCCACGACGCCGCCCGACUCCACCCGGACACCAUGAUGCUAGGCGCUCAGGUCUCCGCCGCCGCUGCAACCCCAGCGAUCCUCGACGAGCAACCAACAAGUGUGCUAAUUUUUUCCGUAUCUGAUCAAAUUAAUUAGUGGUAUUAUCUUCCGUAUAUGUGCAUAUCCAUAAUCCUUGAGUGGAUCCAUAUCUGCAGUUCGGUGUGCUUUGAUCUGCUUUGAUUUGAAUUUUUAGGUGACCUUGUCCUUGUCCUUCCCUUUGCGUUGUGUGAAACCGUGGAGAUGGAGAUGGACUCGAAAAUGUGAAUAGAGUGCCGAUGAAUAUUUUCUGAAUUGCAUGUCAUUCAGUAGUCGAUGGAGUACUAUGCGUCAGAAAACAUUCAUGACAGUGUACUCUGUUCUAAUUUUGGGAGAUAAAUUAGUGAACCUUUUUAAACAUAUGUGUUUCUCUAUUCAACAAAUUGGACUUUAGAACCAUGGAUAGCUUGGAGAAUUUAUUAUUUUGUAUAUUUUUCAUAUUAUUAAAGCCGUAAGGCUCAACAAGUCCACUUUUUUGGUGUCUAGCCUCAUGUUUCCUGCACACUAAACUCAAUUUUUCAUGAAUGUGCGACAUUUCCCCAUCAGAGCUCAACCCUCCAUAUGUUUUGGUCUGCAAUCAAAAAGUCUACAAACAUGUGUCCUUGCCUUUGAUUUUAGGUUGGUCAGGAAGUAGUUAUAAUAUCUGAUUUGCCUUUUUCUAAUGUGAUUUUCUUGUUGGUUGAGCUACUCUCAGAAGCAUGAAGCUGUCUUGCUGUUUGUGGAUUAAUCAACUGUCAGGAACAUGCUGCUGGGAUCUUAGGCAUCAUUCUGUGACCAAACUUGAAUAAUUGCCACGAAAGCCAGGAAGCCACUGCCGUAUGGAAUCAGCACCAUGUUGGCUAUGCCGUUGAGGACACUGUAUGGAGUGGGUCAAGUUCUUGGUGCAGGGCAGUUCCUCUGCAACAUGACCGACGUCUCGUCAUCGCUGCGAAUUGAGCUUGUAACUUGCAUCGAGAUAACUAUGCAUAUAUCCUGCAUGAUGUUGAUAUUGGAACAAUUGGACUGUUGGAGUCGUGGAUCCUUCUGAGGCAGUGAGGCUAUGCCUAUUAAUAGAAAAAUAGAAACCAUGCCCGCCAUCACUACGAUCAUACCGGCGGUGGAAACUUGGAAUUGAAGGCAACUCUUGUUGCAAAUACACAUUUUAUUACUGUAUCUGAAUUCUUGUCACCUGUCAAUGGAAUUCUCUCAAAUGUACACUAUUGUUUCCCGGAAUUUUCAUUUUCCCAAAACUUGGAAUUGAAGGCAAACUCUUAUUGCAAAUACACAUUUUAUUACUGUAUCUAAA